GUAGGGGGCAAGCGUUGUCCGGAAUGACUGGGCGUAAAGGGAGUGUAGGCGGCCUUGUAAGUUAGAUGUGAAAUCCUACGGCUUAACCGUAGAACUGCAUCUAAAACUGUGAGGCUGGAGUGCAGGAGAGGUGAGUGGAAUUCCUAGUGUAGCGGUGGAAUGCGUAGAUAUUAGGAGGAACACCAGAGGCGAAGGCGACUCACUGGACUGUAACUGACGCUGAGGCUCGAAAGCGUGGGGAGCAAA
rnacentral:rRNA from 1 species